CAAGGAAGAGAAGAAGAAGCAGAGCCGGUCUGGAAGAAGCGCGGGAAAGAAAGUGAGAGAACCUGGAGAAGGAGGAGGAGGAGGAGAGGCUGAGAAGACGGCGGGGCAGAGUCGAAGUGAGCAGCAUCGCCUACAAACUAUAGAAAAGAGCGGGAGAGCCAGUUCGCCGGCUGGUUGAGACCUGUUGCAGGCUCGGAAAGCAAAGCUGUCUGCCGGUGCUGAAGACAGAGCUGGUGGCCCAAUGAACUGUAUUAAAAAACACAGCAAAUCCCAAAAACACAAAGAGAAAGAAUCCUGUGAACGUGUGUUUUCCGAGGUAAAUCUAAUGAAAACAAAACCACCAAACCGACUUAUCACAGGCGCCCUUAAUGGGCUCAUGCACACAUCAGAGAGUGUGAAGAUGGCAGGUGGAUGUGCCGGUUUGAAGCCAACAACCACAAUGCUGCGGUCCAUGACAACAUGAGAUGUAAACAGUAAGAGGACUGCCCCCACCCAGCAGGGUGCAGCAGACUCAGACAGGGACUCACAGCUGGAGACUGAACCUGAAGAAAACUGCCAAAGGCGGAGACGUGACGUGACGCAGCCCGGACAGCUGAUGGAGACCGAGGCGAUCAGGGCUACACACCACUUAGUGUUUGUCCACAUUAGAUGUUGGACUUUUGCUUCACUCGGAACAAACACAUGUAGCCCUUGGCCUGUUGUCUGCUGUGCUUCCCUCUUUUCCAGGUUAUUAUACAGCAGGUUAUAUAUGCACUUUAUUUGAAGUUAUAUGCUGUUAAGUGCUGUUUUUGUUGAUUUUCUGAGUUGUUGUCAUUUUUGAGGACAGAGACAUGUUGUUGCUCUGAAAAUAAAAUGUAACAUGUGAAGCCAGAUCUUUAUUUUCUUGUCAGUUAUCAUGAAUACUGUUUCUCUUUGUCUCUCUGCCUGUUAGACGCUGUUCAACACUAGAGUGACUGUAGCGCAUCAAUACACUUGUUAUUUUGGUUAUGACGGCUGUCCGAUCAUUUCCCUCCAAAUACGAUCAUUUGAUGUCUGUGGUACGAUAAUCCUACAUUUCCCAGCUGGCAACGCGGGUUCAGUGAGUUGUUGAGUUGGAGCCACUUUAUAAACUGUGUGAAACUC